ensembl:lncRNA
UCCUGAAGCUGAACAAAUGGCAAAUGUAAAAGGGAACAGAUACCAGUUUGCAAAAUGGAUGGAAUGGAGACAGAGAAAGCGAAAGAGAGAGAGAAUAAAGAGGAACUAUGUUCAGAGGGUGGGAGUGGUGCAGUAGAAAGAGGUUAUUCAGCAGCCUCUCUUUCCCUACAGGGUGGGUCUGACUGAGAGGAAAUCACCACCGGCCAACUACACAUGGUGGAUUCCUGGCAUUGUGGAGUUAGCAGUUGGGUCUCCACUUGGAAAGAUAGACUGCAAGAAGAGGAGUCUCCAACAGGGCAAAAUGUGGCUGCCAUGCUUGCUGUUUUUGCUUUUCCUGCAUGUGGGGUCUAUUAUGAAUGCUGUUCCAGAUUCUUCAGUGAUUCAAACACCUGCCAAUGUGACUGUGGAGGAAGGAUCAACAGUGAAUAUGCAGUGCAGGUUCAAUGGACCCAGCACCAAAUGGUCUAUUAAAUGGUAUAAAGUUAAAGGCAAUGAACAGGUGGAAUUGCUUAACUCAAGCCUAGUUCACAUAUUUACACAUCUAAAAGACAAAUUAAGUAAUUUGACUUUGAAAUCUGUGGAUUUGAAGGAUACUGGAACUUAUCUGUGUAACGUCAUCGAUGAGAAUUUUCAACAUCUCAAUACUGGGACAAAUGUGACCAUCAUUGAAAUUACCGACUUUGAGGUGAACCAGACUUCUGGACCCAUCCAUGAAGUGGAAGGGGCGGAUGUCACCAUCGAGUGUCGCUUCAGGACAGUCGGCAGGAACAGCAGCAUGUAUGUCAGUUGGGACAAAGAUGGGCUUGCGGUUGAGCAGGCUAACAAGACAGGCUCGUACAGGAUCACUCAGAACCUGAGAGCAGGAUUUGCUUCUCUCACCCUCACAAAUGCUACUGUGAGCGAUUCAGGGUUGUACGUCUGUAACGUUGGGAGAGAACCAAGAAAUCAAACAAAAUCAUCAGGAAUUGCAUCUCAUGUUGUCAUCACAACGGCUAAUCUGUCAGUUAUCCAGUCACCUGCUUUCAUCCAAGGAAUGGAAGGGCAAACACUCAUUAUAAACUGUAGCAUUGCAGUUGCCAAGAAUGUGCGACUCCUCCCGUACAGUGUCACCUGGUAUAAAAAUGGCACUGAUGGACAUGAGGAGGAGGUGACAGGUGCAGGCAGGACUCUGAGCGCAACCACAGGCCUGGCUUCUCUCAUUCUGCCCAGUGUCCAAAGGAAUGACUCUGGAAUGUACCGAUGUGCUGUCGGUAGUAAUGGCCGAGGAAAUGGGACCAUGGUGACAAUCUCUGAACGUGACAAGCAGCCAGAAACUGACAGUGGAAGUCCUGGAGCUGGAAUUGGAGCCGGAAUUGGAGCUGGAGCCGGAGGUGCAGCAGGAAUCCUCCUCCUCUUGUUGCUGCUCAGUGUCUUAGCAUGGAGAUACAAGAAGAGGGCUAAAGAAAGCACAACAGAGACAGAAGCUGCUGCAACCAAAGAAGCAGGAACGCAUCUUCCUUUAACCAGCCGGCAGAAGGAGUUGACCUAUGCCAGCCUUCGUUUCAACAAAAAGGAAGUGGAACCAGAUGCUGGGGUGAUCUAUGCGGAAGUGCGAAGAAAACCGAAACAGCGAGCUGGCAACAGCCAGAUCUAG